rnacentral:snRNA from 1 species
GGAUGAUGAUUGGUUAUAGCCUCUAGUGCCCCAGGGUUGAUUUGGUAGAUCGGGCCCUGCUAGGCAGCUGUGCACCUCCCCUCCCUCCUCCCGCGGAAGUUUGCUUUGUUGAAGAGGACAGCCCUCCCCCACUAGAGGAGGACUGAUCUGCUGUGCUCCCGUCUAGAACCUCCAACCAGGCUCUCAAGAUGCUAAAAGGGAGGGAGCUGGCAGGGACCCUGGAGCAUCCUCAUGUCUCAGUUUACCAUCUGUGAAACAGGGAUGGUAAUUCUG